GUAGCUGGGUGGGCGGGUCUGUUGGUGGCUGCGUUUCCUGCAUGUCUGCAGUCGGGUGAGCGCUCCCCUGUUCGGGCUGGAGCGUCUUUCAUUCCCACGUGCUGAGCGGGGUUGGAUUUGCUGUCGCUCUUCCUCAGCACCAGCUUUGCUUUGGUGAUGAUGCCUCGCAUAGGCUCAAGCUCCCCAGCCGCCUGGACCGACUUGAACUCUGGAUUUUAGUCUUGUGAAUCCUGUGAACAAGGAGGAAAUUGGCUGUUAUUGGCUCUCAGCUGGGCAGACCCAACAUUUCGGUAACAGUUUCUGGUGACCCAGAUGGGACUUUCCUAGUUUGGACAUCGAACUCCGGACGGCUGCGGCAAACUAGGAGCGGCAUCUAGUGUUUAGCCCCUCUUCCUCACUUCACCACGGCCCCUGAGGUUCGUGCUCUGAUAAGUCACUGCUUCCCAGGAUAGACUCACCUAUAUUAUGUAGCACAGAGCAAGCAGCAAUAACAACGAGAAUGUUGGUUGUGCUGAGGUCUGACCAACAGCACCAGCGAGCUUUUAAACGUCCAAAGGCACAUUCUACCACCAUUCUGCACUUGCUUAGCCUGUAGUUGAUCUGCUCCUUACUACUGUCCAGGCUUCAUGAGCCAUUGGGAGCAAGGGGUAGGCACGACCACACAGUGCUGCCGGCUGGGAGAGCAUCCUGAGGCAGAAGCCUCCAGCUCACAUGAUAUUCCAGGCAGGACUGAAUCUCCAUGAGAUGAAACUUAAAGAAGAGAAUGACCUGGAGUCACUCCCAUUCGGUGCUCUAAGAGGAGGAUGGCCAUGUCUGUCCAGGCACCCCUGAUCGACCUCACCGAGGUCUGCCAGGAGCACCCAGGAGACAUACGGUGAACGUGAGCUGAGCUGAGCGGGCUCCCGCUUGCAGUGCUAUGGUAUCUGCGCGGUUAACCCAGGAAAAAAGCUGCAAAACAAUUGUCUGCUGUUACUUUCACGGAGGGAGGGGCGACUGACGAUAUGUACCCAAAACCACCUGCGACAAUGUUUUUACCCCAUCAGGCAUUGGGAGCUCAACCCAGAAUUCCAAUGGGUGGUGGAGACUGCAGGAACUGUGGGAUAGCUACCAACAGUGCAACGCUCCGAAAAUCGACGCUAGCCUUUGGUACUGUGGACGCACUCCACCGACUUAAUGCGCUUAGUGGGGACACACACAAUUGACUGUAUAAAAUUGAUUUCUAAAAAAUUGACCUCUAUAAAAUCAACCUAAUUUCGUAGUGUAGACGUACCUAUCUUUACGAAGGGUAUCUCCCUGCAACCUAGAUUUAGGGUCCUAUCCCUCAGAGAGGGGUGGGUCUUAGCACACAGUAAUUUAGGCACCUCCUCAUUUAGCAUGCUAGUUUUUGUGGAUUGUAUUCUAAGGCACUUAUCUCUCCUUGUUAAUCUUAUAGGGAGACUAGGUGGCUAACUGGGCAUUGUAGAUUGCAGUGCUGUUCUGCUGAUAUUCUAGGUGCCUAAAAGUAAGCACAAUGAUACUCAGUGUUGCAACACCUAUGUCCCUUCAUAAAUCCCACCCCUGGUGAUUCAGUAAGUGGCAUUCUUCUGUUGGAAUAAGUACCAGUUUUAGGGUUCGCUGGGCCACUGGAGAUGUCAUCUUUCAAAUGAAACAUAUCAGUAUUCUUAUUCAGUUGUGGUCAUUAAACAUUUCAUAGUACUUCUUUUUAAGAAAGUUAUAUGUUGCAUCUCUAAAUUCCUCUGCAAUAUCAGUUUGCUACAAUAUUCUUCACACUUGUCCUAAGCUGUGUUGUUCCUGCCUAUAGUUAAUCAGAAAUGUCUGUAUUUCAGGGGUGGGUGAAAUGAUCUCCUUAAAUGUUGUAUAAGUCCUAUUUCUGCAAAUUGUUGUGCCCAUGUGGAACUUGUUGCACGAUUGCAGCCAUAAUCUGCAAAUCUCUUUGACAUGAAAGGCACUAAAUAAGUGUAAGACAUUAAUAUUGCUAUGGUCAGAUAAGUUAUUCUUUAAAUAUUUGCAUUUUGUUACUGCACUUACUUGUUUUCUCUGUCUUCAAAGUUUUUGAUCCUGCAAACGUGCACAUUUAACUGUUAAUAACUCCAUUGAAAUUCUAUGCUGGCAGAACCAUUUGCAGUGUUGCUGCCUUUAUCAUAUUUAUGGGAGUUGCUGAAGUCAAUGGGACUAUUCACAUACUUAAAGUUAAGCAUGUGCAUAAAUAUUUUGUAGGAUGUGGAGAUAUUUUGUAGGCCAUUUACUGAAAAAGUUUUUCUAGUCAGAACUACAAAACCAACACCACUGUGAAAAAACAAGUUGUAUUUUGUCUUGUCUGGCAUGUAAUUAAACAUGAUUGCCAGCUAAAUUCUAAAACUAAACCUUUUACUAUUGGUGAUGCAUGAAGCAGGAAGAACACAACUUGAUUUUCUAAUUCCAAGAUGAGUUUAUUGUGCAGCAGAUUAAUCUUAUUUUGAUUUGUAAACUGAGCAGAGAAUUAAUGCACAAUCAUGCUGUAAAUGAAAAUAAUUAUUGAACUCAUGUCAUAUUUAUAAUAAUAUUUGUGACUAUUACCACAUUUUAUAGGUGUGCAUGAAUAACUGUUCUUAUUUUAUGGCUAUUUUUCAAUAAACAUUUUAGAAAAUG